AAUGGCUCAUUAAAUCAGUUAUCGUUUAUUUGAUAGUACCUUACUACUUGGAUAACCGUGGUAAUUCUAGAGCUAAUACAUGCUAAAAACCUCAACUUCGGGAGGGGUGUAUUUAUUAGAUAAAAAGCCUGCGCCCUUCGGGGCUCCUUGGUGAUUCAUAAUAACUUAACGAAUCGCAUGGCCUUGCGCCGGCGAUGGUUCAUUCAAAUUUCUGCCCUAUCAACUUUCGAUGGUAGGAUAGUGGCCUACCAUGGUAUCAACGGGUAACGGGGAAUUAGGGUUCUAUUCCGGAGAGGGAGCCUGAGAAACGGCUACCACAUCCAAGGAAGGCAGCAGGCGCGCAAAUUACCCAAUCCCGACACGGGGAGGUAGUGACAAUAAAUACUGAUACAGGGCUCUUUAGGGUCUUGUAAUUGGAAUGAGUACAAUUUAAAUCCCUUAACGAGGAACAAUUGGAGGGCAAGUCUGGUGCCAGCAGCCGCGGUAAUUCCAGCUCCAAUAGCGUAUAUUAAAGUUGUUGCAGUUAAAAAGCUCGUAGUUGAACCUUGGGCCUGGCUGGCCGGUCCGCCUCACCGCGUGUACUGGUCCGGCCGGGCCUUUCCUUCUGGGGAGCCGUAUGCCCUUCACUGGGCGUAUUGGGGAACCAGGACUUUUACUUUGAAAAAAUUAGAGUGUUCAAAGCAGGCCUUUGCUCGAAUACAUUAGCAUGGAAUAAUAGAAUAGGACGUGCGGUUCUAUUUUGUUGGUUUCUAGGACCGCCGUAAUGAUUAAUAGGGAUAGUCGGGGGCAUCAGUAUUCAAUUGUCAGAGGUGAAAUUCUUGGAUUUAUUGAAGACUAACUACUGCGAAAGCAUUUGCCAAGGAUGUUUUCAUUAAUCAGUGAACGAAAGUUAGGGGAUCGAAGACGAUCAGAUACCGUCGUAGUCUUAACCAUAAACUAUGCCGACUAGGGAUCGGGCGAUGUUAUCAUUUUGACUCGCUCGGCACCUUA
rnacentral:rRNA from 1 species